GUCCUCCUUUGGUUCCUAAGCAUGGUGAUUGGGAAUUCACACCAUUGUGUGACACAGGUCUCCCUUCAAUCUUGUUGCAGCAUCAGCACAGUACAUGCCUGAGG
ensembl:snoRNA